ACAACUAAAAUAUAAACCACUGCAUUAAACAACAACAGCCACACAUACACAUCAUACUUCAUCAUCAGACAAAAAAAUAUAACAACAACAACAUCCACCACUGCAAUAACUGCUUCUCAACAAGCAGCAAAAAAAAUCAUCAUCCAUCAGCACCAGUGAUCAUUACAAAAAAAAAAAUCAAUUGUGUCGCGAUGCGUUAUGGCAAUGAACACAGUAUAUUAAUGUUACGUAUCUCCAAACGCUGACAUUCUACUGGUCGAAAGCUAACAGCUCAAAACUGCGAACUUGGCAGAAACAUCUGUUCUGCCCCAUUUCUGGUUUUAUACAUAAAUGUCAUAUACCCAAAGUGGUUAUUCUUUUUUUUUAACACAGACUUCCAAACUAUUCGGUCUUCAUUUUGUAAGCUCUAUAGAAAUCAAUAAACUUGAAUUGUUUUGUAUUUUGGGUAGAAGGUUUUCAUUUCACUGGAAAUACAGUAAGUACAAGAAUACAACAGUGGCGACGAGGAGGAGCAAGAACCAACCCAGAUUAAGAUGAAUGCUGAGCAAUUGAGGAUGCUUUUAUCUGCGAUCGAAACUGCGAUUCAAAGUAACACUACCGGUCAAUCAAAGCAAGAAAUCAUACAACUUGAGAAUUUCAAUGAAGAUAACGAAAGUUGGGAGAUAUUUAUAAAGAGACUGGAACCUUUCUUGAGUUUGAAGAAUAUAACUGGGACUUCUAAUGAGGUAUUAAAGAGCAAAAAAGAUUGGCUAAUCCAUGCAAUUGGUACAAAAACAUUACAACUUCUGUGUAAUCUGACAAGCCCGGAUGAUCCUCAGUCUUAAACUUAUGACGAAUUAGUUAAAUUAGUUAAAGAUCAUCUACAUCCAGCUCCCAGUGUAAUCGCUUAACAAAAUCAAUUCACAAAACGUAUUCAACACGAGGGAGAGAGCAUAUCAAAUUUUGUGGCAGAUUUAAAAAAGAUGUACAAAAAUUGUAAUUUUAAAUGCGCAUCUUGUAAUGCAUCAACAGCCGAUGCACAUCAAAGGCAACAAUUCAUUAGUGGACUCAGAAAUGCCCACUGGUUAGAGAAACUUAUUCAACUCAAGGAACCAAACAACAAUUUCAUUGAUUGCGUCACAGCUACUCUAGCAAUGGAGUCAGCACAAAAAGAUUCAAAGGAAAUCCAAAACCUACAAGCGACAUCGACAAUGAAUCAUCAAAAUCAGUAAUGAAAAUUUUAUCCUCAUGGAAAAGCUAAACUAGUUGUUUUCGUUGUGGAGACAAGCAGCAUUCAAGUAAUGAAUGUAGUCACAUUCAAACCAUAUGUUCGAAAUGUAGAAAAAUUGGACGACUUGCCAAAAUCAGCUACAGCCAUUUGAUUUGCAGGCAGACGAGCAUGAACUUUUUUACAUCAAUCAUCUGAGUGAAGUUAUUCUCCCCAAAGAGAAAAACAAACCAAGCAAAAUUAUGUUAAGAGGUUAGGUUAGAUGGUGUCUUAAAAAAUUUGGAGUUGGACACAGGAGCAGCGGUUUCAUCUAUUUCACAUGAAGAUUUCACGUACACAGGUGAGGUUAUUCAUCCUCUGGGAUACGCAACCAUGCAGGUCGAAUAUGGGGACGAAGUGCGCAGUGCGAACAUUAACGUAAUGCCUGGGAAGGUUGACUCAAUUUUUGGCAGAGAGUGGCUCAAAAUCUUCCAAAUUAAUAAUUUUUUAUUUUUAAGAUCCUUACCGCAAAAUAGAAAUAAAAUUAAAACAAUAAUAAAAUAAAAUUAAAAAACAAA